rnacentral:lncRNA from 1 species
UGCAUGUGCAUGGGCAUGGGCAUGGGCAUGGGCAGGAGCAUGGGAUGGGGAUAGGGAGAGGGAGAGGAAUCGGAAUAGGAAUGCGAAUGCGAAUGCGGAAGCGGAAACGGAAGGGAGAAGGAGAGGGAGAGGGAGAGGGAGAGGGAGAGGGAGAGGGGGAGAGGACAUCUAAGGUAGGCCAGGCUAAGCUGUGAUGGCUUAAAUUAGGUGGGUUAAAUGCAUUCUCACCUUGACGAUGUCUUCCAGGUACAAUAGGUUUAGCAGGCUGCAACCCCACGGUAAGUCAAGGAGCAUGUGUGAGACGUGACCAGAGCACAGAAGGCCCCGUGUCAUCUCUUUCUUCUCUGCAGCCUCAGGGCCUGCCUACUCCUCCUCUCCCUGGCCUCGACCAUGCUAACGUAUAGUGAGCCCUCAGUAUCCGUGGGUUCCGUCUGCACGCAUACAGUCAGCCAACUGCAGAUGGAAAAUAUUCAGAAAAAAUAGUCGCCUCUGUACUGAACCUGAGCAGACUUGCUUUCUCGUCAUUUUCCCCGAAACAAUACAGUCCAGCAACUGUCUACAUAGCAUUUACAUUGUAUUAGGUGUUAUAAUUAAUCUAGGUAUGAUUUAAAGUGUACAACAUGUGUGAGUUCCAUGCACAUAACACACCAUUUUUAUGUAAGGGGCUUGGUCCUGGAACCAAUUUCCUGCAGAUACCAAGGAGGGGCGGGGUUAUUCAAAGAUUUAACAUGCAGAGCUUAACCCUGACCAAGUCAAUGCCACUGCUAUCCUUGCUGUAGAGAUGAGGAAACUUCAGAAGCUAGAGGACAAGUUGAGGGUCAAGGGUAACCGGUGUCAGGACGUAGCAAGGACUGCAGGUCUGUUUUGCCCCAGAAUGUCUCCCCACAGUCACUCCUAACCCAGAGGAACACGAGAAGAGGAACACUUCUAAGUGGACGAGAACUACGGGGUCAUCUUUUCGUGCGUUCUCAGUGGGCAGAUGAGAACACAGAGUGACGCAGCCAGGGCAGCCCACGCUGUGCUCCUGUCACCACCCCACAGCAAGGUCUGCAGUCAGUGGGAACGUAGAACCCAUUCACGGCUUUCCUGUCGCAUUUCAGAUAACGGCUAACCUCGGCAGUGAAGGCAAGGCAAUUUCCCGCCCCUGGGUUCAACAACGCGAGGCCCGGGCUGACUUGCCAGGCCAUUUUCAAACAGUACCGAGAGUUGGAAAAGACAACCGAUCCACGCGCUUUCUGAGAAAGACCGGCUCCUUCAAGAGAAGGCUCUGGACAAACAGAAAGAGCUUAUGUGACACGAUGAAUGACAAGACGUCCUUGCCGGCUCUCUUCACUGUGUCUGCAGUGGAAACUACCUGGUCUCAACCGGCUCUCCACCUGAGAAAGCCAGCGCUAGAUGCAUCGGCCCAGGCCUUAAAAUGAUCCUGCAUCAGUUUGAAGAGAAGGAAGCAGAGUCUCCAUUUGGAAGAACAACCAAUAAAGAUGAGAUGGCCCAGAACCUUCCA